AUUGAACGCUGGCGGCAUGCCUUACACAUGCAAGUCGAACGGCAGCACGGGAGCAAUCCUGGUGGCGAGUGGCGAACGGGUGAGUAAUAUAUCGGAACGUGCCCAGUCGUGGGGAUAACGUAGCGAAAGCUACGCUAAUACCGCAUACGAUCUAUGGAUGAAAGCGGGGGAUCGCAAGACCUCGCGCGAUUGGAGCGGCCGAUAUCAGAUUAGGUAGUUGGUGAGGUAAAGGCUCACCAAGCCGACGAUCUGUAGCUGGUCUGGGAGGACGACCAGCCACACUGGGACUGAGACACGGCCCAGACUCCUACGGGAGGCAGCAGUGGGGAAUUUUGGACAAUGGGCGCAAGCCUGAUCCAGCAAUGCCGCGUGCAGGAUGAAG
rnacentral:rRNA from 1 species